UACAGAGGUCCCGAGCGUUGUUCGGAUUCACUGGGCGUAAAGGGUGCGUAGGUGGUGGGGUAAGUCGGAUGUGAAAUCUCGGAGCUCAACUCCGAAACUGCAUUGGAAACUACCCUGCUAGAGGGUCGGAGGGGGGACUGGAAUUCUUGGUGUAGCAGUGAAAUGCGUAGAUAUCAAGAGGAACACCAGUGGCGAAGGCGAGUCCCUGGACGACUCCUGACACUGAGGCACGAAAGCUAGGGGAGCAAACAGG
rnacentral:rRNA from 1 species